rnacentral:rRNA from 1 species
GAUGAACGCUGGCGGCGUGCUUAACACAUGCAAGUCGAACGUGAGAAUAGCAAUAUUUGAAAGUGGCAAACGGGUGAGUAACACGUGGGAACCUGCCUCGAAGUGGGGGAUAACGAUUGGAAACGGUCGCUAAUACCGCACGGUUCUGCUCUGAUGGGAAUGGAGCAGAUAAAGAUUUAUCGCUUUGAGAGGGGCCCGCGGCCGAUUAGCUAGUUGGUAAGGUAAAGGCUUACCAAGGCGAUUAUCGGUAGCUGGUCUGAGAGGACGAUCAGCCACACGGGAACUGAGACACGGUCCCGACUCCUACGGGGGGCAGCAGUGAGGAAUAUUGGACAAUGGGCGAAAGCCUGACCCAGCAACGCCGCGUGGAGGAUGAAGGCUUUAGGGUUGUAAACUCCUUUUGUGGGGAAAAGAAUGGAUGGUACCCCAAGAAUAAGUCACGGCUAACUACGUG